rnacentral:rRNA from 1 species
GAUGAACGCUGGCGGCGUGCUUAGCACAUGCAAGUCGAACGAUGAAGCCCAGCUUGCUGGGCGGAUUAGUGGCGAACGGGUGAGUAACACGUGAGUAACCUGCCCUUGACUCUGGGAUAAGCCUGGGAAACUGGGUCUAAUACUGGAUAUGACUUCUCAUCGCAUGGUGGGGGGUGGAAAGAUUUAUUGGUUUUGGAUGGACUCGCGGCCUAUCAGCUUGUUGGUGAGGUAAUGGCUCACCAAGGCGACGACGGGUAGCCGGCCUGAGAGGGUGACCGGCCACACUGGGACUGAGACACGGCCCAGACUCCUACGGGAGGCAGCAGUGGGGAAUAUUGCACAAUGGGCGCAGGCCUGAUGCAGCGACGCCGCGUGAGGGAUGACGGCCUUCGGGUUGUAAACCUCUUUCGGUAGGGAAGAAGCGAGAGUGACGGUACCUGCAGAAGAAGCGCCGGCUAACUACGUG